rnacentral:rRNA from 1 species
GUCCACGCCGUAAACGAUGGGCGCUAGGUGUGGGAGGUGUCGACUCCUCCCGUGCCGAAGCUAACGCAUUAAGCGCCCCGCCUGUGGAGUACGGCCGCAAGGCUAAAACUCAAAGGAAUUGACGGGGGCCCGCACAAGCAGCGGAGCAUGUUGUUUAAUUCGACGCAACGCGAAGAACCUUACCAGGGCUUGACAUGCAUCGGAAAACCGUGGAAACACGGUCCCCCGCAAGGGUCGAUGCACAGGUGGUGCAUGGCUGUCGU